GAGUUUGAUCCUGGCUCAGAUUGAACGCUGGCGGAAUGCUUUACACAUGCAAGUCGAGCGGCAGCGCGGGGCAACCUGGCGGCGAGCGGCGAACGGGUGAGUAAUGCAUCGGAACAUGUCCAUGUCGUGGGGGAUAGCCCGGCGAAAGCCGGAUUAAUACCGCAUAUGCCCGAGAGGGGAAAGUGGGGGACCGCAAGGCCUCACGCGAUUGGGUUGGCCGAUGUCCGAUUAGCUAGUUGGCGGGGUAAGAGCCCACCAAGGCGAUGAUCGGUAGCUGGUCUGAGAGGAUGAUCAGCCACACUGGGACUGAGACACGGCCCAGACUCCUACGGGAGGCAGCAGUGGGGAAUUUUGGACAAUGGGGGAAACCCUGAUCCAGCCAUUCCGCGUGAGUGAAGAAGGCCUUCGGUUGU
rnacentral:rRNA from 1 species